rnacentral:rRNA from 1 species
GACGAACGCUGGCGGCGUGCUUAACACAUGCAAGUCGAACGGAAAGGCCCUGCUUUUGUGGGGUGCUCGAGUGGCGAACGGGUGAGUAACACGUGAGUAACCUGCCCUUGACUUUGGGAUAACUUCAGGAAACUGGGGCUAAUACCGGAUAGGAGCUCCUGCUGCAUGGUGGGGGUUGGAAAGUUUCGGCGGUUGGGGAUGGACUCGCGGCUUAUCAGCUUGUUGGUGGGGUAGUGGCUUACCAAGGCUUUGACGGGUAGCCGGCCUGAGAGGGUGACCGGCCAGAUGGGGGUAGAACUGCGGCACGGGCUGCGGAGUGAGGCAGCAGUGGGGGAUGCUGCAUGAUGGGCGGAUGCUUGAUGCCGGCUUGCCGCGGGGAGGAUGACGGCGUGCGGGUAGGAGGAAACGAACGCCUGGGAAGAUGCGUGCGGGAAGGGAAUGGAUAAAGAAGGACCGGCUACGUCCGGG